rnacentral:rRNA from 1 species
UACGAAGGGGGCUAGCGUUGUUCGGAUUAACUGGGCGUAAAGCGCGCGUAGGCGGGUUUUUAAGUCAGGGGUGAAAUCCCAAGGCUCAACCUUGGAACUGCCUUUGAUACUGGAAAUCUUGAGUCCGGGAGAGGUGAGUGGAACUGCGAGUGUAGAGGUGAAAUUCGUAGAUAUUCGCAAGAACACCAGUGGCGAAGGCGGCUCACUGGCCCGGUACUGACGCUGAGGUGCGAAAGCGUGGGGGAGC